AUGAACGCUGGCGGCGUGCCUAAUACAUGCAAGUCGAGCGAACGGACGAGAAGCUUGCUUCUCUGAUGUUAUCGGCGGACGGGUGAGUAACACGUGGAUAACCUACCUAUAAGACUGGGAUAACUUCGGGAAACCGGAGCUAAUACCGGAUAAUAUUUUGAACCGCAUGGUUCAAAAGUGAAAGACGGUCUUGCUGUCACUUAUAGAUGGAUCCGCGCUGCAUUAGCUAGUUGGUAAGGUAACGGCUUACCAAGGCAACGAUGCAUAGCCGACCUGAGAGGGUGAUCGGCCACACUGGAACUGAGACACGGUCCAGACUCCUACGGGAGGCAGCAGUAGGGAAUCUUCCGCAAUGGGCGAAAGCCUGACGGAGCAACGCCGCGUGAGUGAUGAAGGUCCUCGGAUCGUAAAACUCUGUUAUUAGGGAAGAACAUAUGUGUAAGUAACUGUGCACAUCUUGACGGUACCUAAUCAGAAAGCCACGGCUAACUACGUG
rnacentral:rRNA from 1 species